rnacentral:tRNA from 1 species
CAGGAAGUAGUUUAUUUAAAAUAUUAAUUUUGGAGAUUAAUGACGGGGUAUAAUUCCUUUCCUGA